rnacentral:rRNA from 1 species
UACGAAGGGUGCAAGCGUUACUCGGAAUUACUGGGCGUAAAGCGUGCGUAGGUGGUUUGUUAAGUCUGUUGUGAAAGCCCCGGGCUCAACCUGGGAAUGGCAAUGGAUACUGGCAAGCUAGAGUGCGGUAGAGGGUAGUGGAAUUCCCGGUGUAGCGGUGAAAUGCGUAGAGAUCGGGAGGAACACCAGUGGCGAAGGCGGCUACCUGGACCAGCACUGA